rnacentral:rRNA from 1 species
GUCGAGAAUUUUUCACAAUGGGCGCAAGCCUGAUGGAGCGACGCCGCGUGGGGGAUGAAGGGCUUCGGCUCGUAAACCCCUGUCAUUUGUGACCAAGGUUGCCGGUUGAACAAACCGGCAGUUUGAUGGUAGCGAAAGAGGAAGGGACGGCUAACUCUGUGCCAGCAGCCGCGGUAAUACAGAGGUCCCAAGCGUUGUUCGGAUUCACUGGGCGUAAAGGGUGCGUAGGUGGUUCGGUAAGUCUGAUGUGAAAUCUCCGAGCUCAACUCGGAAACGGCAUCGGAAACUGCCUGGCUAGAGGAUUGGAGGGGAGACUGGAAUUCUCGGUGUAGCAGUGAAAUGCGUAGAUAUCGAGAGGAACACCGGUGGCGAAGGCGAGUCUCUGGACAAUUCCUGACACUGAGGCACGAAAGCUAGGGGAGCAAACAGGAUUAGAUACCCUAGUAGUCC